UUUCCUCUGCCGCAAGCUCCACUUCACUUCGCAUUAUUUAUUUAUUUUGUUAUUUUUUUUUGUUUUCUCUCAGGCUAUCGUCACUAACAACUACCCAUCAAACUCUAACCCUAAAAUGCCACCUUCCUGUUUCUCUAUGUGCAUGGUCAUAAAAUAAAAUUGGGGCAUUGAAUUUGAGGAUUCAUAUUUCAGUUGAAAAGGGGCAAUUGUGCAAAUCAAGCAAGUUUUCUUUCUAAUUUUAUGCCUCUUAUCUCCUUUUGUUGUUUGAUUAAAUCAUUUUUUAUACCCAACACAGCCACGCUCUUCUAUUUGUUUUCACAACCCUAACCCUAAAUACUCAGUGCCUCUAACAAUUGCAGAAAAAGAUUAGUUUCUGAACCUGGAUGAAGUGAUGAAGUUGGAUAAAAUUUUGUAAUUUUUGUUCGCUUGGGAUUAAUUAGUGUUUGCUUGAAUUGAUUUAGUACUAUGUUUUCAUGUUAAUUAAUUAGUAUUGUGUGGAACUUGUGAAUUUUUAGAAUUAAAUUAAUGUGUUUUGCUCUCUUAACCUUUCAGGAUCCCAAUCCAGAAUGGCAGAAUUUUUCUCUCUGAUUCUCAUUUAUCUGUUUUGAUUUUUAUUGUUUAGUUUUGGUUCUCACUUUCUUUUUCCUUUUUUUUUUUGGUUUUUCCAUAGUAUUUAUACUUUGAGGAAGAAGAGUGUUUUUGCAAAGCUGAUUCAAGGACAUGCCUAUGUUGAAAAAGCCAUCUCAGAAUCUUUUCUGUGCCACCUUCCCUGUUCCUAAGAGCUGCUUCACUGUUACUAAGAACAGUGAAGCAUCUGGGUGGAGAUUCAGCUUUCCUAAAUGUAUAUAAUUAUUUGCUUCGUUAUUUAUUCUUCAAAGUCAUGAACCAUAACUACCAAUUUUUUUACAGCUUCCACAAGUCCAAAGGAAGAUGGGAGUUACCAGCAAGAUCAAGAUGGAGUUUGGCAUGCGAAUGGCUAGGCAUGUGAUUCUCAAGGAAAUCAUCAAUGGGUGCAAAAAAAAUUUAGUAUUGUCCCCAUUAUCACUUCAAUUUAUGUUGAAUUUGGUGGCUUCAGGUUCCACAGGACGUUCUUUGGAACAGUUGCUAAGCUUUCUUGAAUCUGAAAGCAUAAGCGAUCUCAAUAAGCAAUCUUCACAAAUAUUGGCUAUUACAACAAGUGAAAGAUCCCCCAUGAGCAGCCAUCAAGAAUCGAUGUCUGGUCACCAAAGGCCCUUCUCUUCUUAUUCAUUGAGUGGAAUUGCAGGACCCUCCAUCAGUGACCAUCAAGCACCAAUCAUAGGUUUUGUUAAUCGGCUUUGGGUUGAUCAUCGUUUCCCUCUUAAAGAGUCUUUCAAAGAGAUUGCUGAAGAUGUUUACAAUGUGGAAGUUAGAACUGUUGACUUCGUUACCCAGGUUAAGCAAAUGAAAAACGAAGCAAACUUGUGGGCUAAAAGAGCAACCAAAGGUCUUAUAAAGAAGUUUCUUCCACCUUGUUGCUUUGACAAAUAUUCGAUGCUUGUACUAGCCAAUGCUCUAUACUUCAAAGGAACUUGGGGUCCUACUUUUGAAACUUCAAGAACUUGUCAUGAAGCCUUUCAUCUCCUCGGCGGAGCAACCAUUAAAGUUCCUUUCAUGACUGGUGGCUCUGGUUCUGGUAUAAGGCUAUUUUAUGGAUCCUUUGAGGGUUUCAAGCUUCUCAAAUUGCCAUAUAAAAAUGACCAGGACGACAAGCAAUUCUGUAUGUACAUCUUUCUUCCUGAUAAGAAAAAUGGAUUGCAAAAAUUAAUAGAAAAUAUCAACUCUGAUCCAAGAUUGUUAAGUGGCCAAUUAGAACUUGAGAAAGUAGAGCUUUGUAAGAUGUGGAUUCCGAAGAUGAAAUUUUCGUAUCAUAUUGAAGUUUCAAGUGUCAUGAAAGAACUAGGAUUAACUUUGCCAUUCAAGGAGACUGGUUGGGAGUUGGCUGAGAUGGUGGAUUCUGCUGACAGCCGCAAAGUUCGUGUCUCCAAAUUGAUUCACAAAUCUCGUAUACAAGUAAAUAAGAAAGGAAAGGAGGCUGCAGCUUGCAAUGAUCUCCUUUCCAAAGUAACUUCUGGACCCGAUGUUCAUCUCGGCCCCCCUCCAAGUUUUGUUGCAGAUCAUCCUUUCAUAUUCAUGAUCAAGGAAGAAGGAUCUGGAGUUGUAUUUUUCGUUGGAGCGGUACUGAAUCCUCUUUUAGAGGCUUGAUUAAACAUUUAGUUUGAUAUGACAAUGGUACGUAGCAUUUGAUUUUGGUUCAUAUUACGUAAUUAGGAGUUUAUAUUAAUGCAGUUUAAGGUUGUAUCUUGCUGCAUUGCACUUCCCAGUUUCUUAACUAUCCU
rnacentral:misc_RNA from 1 species